AUGUACAGUAGCGUUCGCGUCGUCGCG
rnacentral:sRNA from 1 species